GUUGGAGGUGAAGUGAAGGAGAGUGAGGACCAUCUGGAACUUGUCAAGGUCAAUAUAUGACCUCUUUGUCUGUUCAUCACCGCAUUUGACUAAGAUAACCUUCAGAGAGCAAUGGCCAGUGCUUCACUUCAGCUUGAUAAAUACCCAGAAGUGGAAUUGCUGGAUCAUAUGGUAGUUCUAUUUUUAAUUUUUUGAGGAAUCUCCAUAUUGUUUUCCAUAUUGGCUGUACCAACUCACAUUCCCAGCAACAGUGCACUGCUGUUCUAGCAGAGCUAGGAUUUGAGCAAGGGAGCUUGGCAGACAGGAGGUGUCUGGAACCAACACACUCAUGUGUUCUAUCAGCAAGAAAUGG